rnacentral:rRNA from 1 species
GUGGGGAAUAUUGGACAAUGGGGGGAACCCUGAUCCAGCCAUGCCGCGUGUGUGAAGAAGGCCUUUUGGUUGUAAAGCACUUUAAGCGAGGAGGAGGCUACCGUGAUUAAUACUCUUGGAUAGUGGACGUUACUCGCAGAAUAAGCACCGGCUAACUCUGUGCCAGCAGCCGCGGUAAUACAGAGGGUGCAAGCGUUAAUCGGAUUUACUGGGCGUAAAGCGCGCGUAGGUGGCCAAUUAAGUCAAAUGUGAAAUCCCCGAGCUUAACUUGGGAAUUGCAGUCGAUACUGGUUGGCUAGAGUAUGGGAGAGGAUGGUAGAAUUCCAGGUGUAGCGGUGAAAUGCGUAGAGAUCUGGAGGAAUACCGAUGGCGAAGGCAGCCAUCUGGCCUAAUACUGACACUGAGGUGCGAAAGCAUGGGGAGCAAACAGGAUUAGAUACCCCUGUAGUCC